rnacentral:rRNA from 1 species
UACGUAGGGGGCAAGCGUUGUCCGGAGUUACUGGGCGUAAAGCGCUCGCAGGCGGUGUGCUGCGUCGGGGGUGCCAGCUGUGUGCUUCACACACAGAGUGCUCUCGAAACGGGCACACUUGAGGGCCAGAGAGGGACAUGGAACUCCGGGUGGAGUGGUGAAAUGCGUAGAGAUCCGGAAGAACACCAAAGGCGAAGGCAGUGUCCUGGCUGGUACCUGACGCUGAGGAGCGAGAGCUAGGGGAGCGAACAGG